CAUGUGCUUGCAGCUUCGUUAUGUGCUGCUCCGCUCGGGGUUGUGCCGCUAGCAGCACCCGUCCUGCCUGGCCCUGCUGAGGACACGCACCACUGCAACCCUUGUGAGGUCUGGGGGCUCGUCCUGCGGGGUCUGGCCUCUGAGCACGUGCAGGUGGCUGCUGAGACCCCACUUUCGCUCCACCUGUCUGCACAGGAUGGGAAGUACCCAGAGAUCAAAGGAUGCCGUCUGCAUCAGGCAGCUGAGAGUGCUGCUGUGCACUUGCCUGGAAAGCAAGUAACCACAGCAAACAGCUGGACCUGGUCCAGCCCAGGUUACCCUGUGCGCUUCCCAGCAGAGAGGGCACAGAAACACCCGCGGUCGGUCGCAACCCACCUCCUCCCAAGCAGCUGUUAAACAAAACAGGAAACGGUGGCCUGACAGCGUGACCGUGCUUUGAAGCUCUGCCCUGCGGAACAGGCUUCAGGAACCUUUGGGGGGAAGUUUUAACAGGCACUGUUCAGCCCCCCCAGUGCUGGAACCUUUCUUUGCCCUCUUGUCACAAACACUGCUUGCUCCCCGCUGCUCUCGGAUGCUGUAUGCCACACUGGGGGAUCCUCUCUUCUACUGCACACUACCAGAGCAAACAGGCAGCGAAAUAAACCCACGUAUUCACCUUAAGCAGAUGAAGCAGGCAAAGCAUCUUCUGUUUGCAAAAGGGGAAGAGCAGUGAACCCAUCUGCAAAACCAUUUCCCAUUAACCAGCCCGCCACAGUAUCUUACAUCCUCCUGCAACUGUCACCCCAAGAAGCAGAUGGACUUUUGUAAUACUGAGAACACAAAAUCGCAAGAGGAGAGAACCCCUGGAAUCUGCCACAUUGCAAAGCUGACAAGUCAAAGUUAGCUGGAGGGAAAGAAAAAGGCUCCUUUGUCCCUUCCACUCUAUAGAGCUAGUAACAGGAGAGCAGCAUGUGUCCUCCCAGGCUAAAUAACCCUGCCAAGACAGUUGCAAAACCACACAGACUUGACAGCGAUGAGCCAUAUCUUCUCCAGUUAUGGCUAAAAGCUCCCACUUGUCCAAGCAGUUCUCUAACCUCUACCACAACGAAUUGAUAAAAACCUCCAUCGUCCCAAGGAACUCUUAAACACCAGCACGUUUCAUAAAUCCAUAUCCCAAGGAAGUGGUGUUAACACUUCACAAUUAUUUUUUCCAUGCCAGAAUGAGUUAAGGUAGGAGUCUCUGUCCUGGCUUUGAAUUUCCUGGCUUUCCCCUGUCUGCGUCACAACAUAAUUCUUUCCAGCCAGCCUUUUCCUCAGAUGUUCAGAGUUUGCGUUGGGAUCCCUGCCAGCUCUCCUUCCCAAAACAAACACGGAGCCUCCUGAUGCCAAAGAUUUGCCUUCCAUUCGAUACCCCAGGGACAAAACACUUGGCUUUACAAGCACUGCCCCUAUUUUCAAUUCUGCAGAUGUAUAUAAAUAAAAAUGCAGCUUUAUAGAGCCCUGUCUGCACUAGAAAAGACUUGACGGCAUGUCCCAACAAGCUGUCUCUCUCCGUCAACUGUAAACAGAGCUUCAAUUAAUUAAGGAGGUUAUUUGCCAAGUUAGUACACAUAGUUUCAGCAAGCAAAAUAAAGCUUAUAGUCAAAUUACU